GGUUCGACGAUUCCGAUUCUCUUCACAAUGAAAAUUUUAUAUGCUGCAAUCAUUUUCGUCAUCGUUCUCACUCUCUCUUCAGUCAGGGGAUUGAAUAAUGAGGCUUCAGCCUGGAUUCCGGAGCACAGAUGCAGCGAAAAAAUCCAAAUAGGCCAAUGCGAGUCGAACAAAUGCAUGAAGAAAUGCUUUGAAAAGUCACAAGGCCGAGGAAGAUGCGUAGAUAACUCAUACUGCAUAUGCACGUUUUACUGCCAUGGACCUCCCAAAUAAUUCUCUAUUGUAUUUUUCUCUGUUUUUUUGUGUAAUGUCUCGUCACACUCGACGUGCAUAAAAAUUUAUUAAAAAUACAAAUUCUUGUCGGCAU